rnacentral:rRNA from 1 species
GUGGCGAAGGCGGUCUCUGGACAGUUCUGACACUGAGACACGAAGGCCAGGGGAGCAAACGGGAUUAGAUACCCCGGUAGUCCUGGCAGUAAACGGUGCACGUUUGGUGUGGGAGGAUUCGACCCCUUCUGCGCCGGAGCUAACGCGUUAAACGUGCCGCCUGGGGAGUACGGUCGCAAGAUUAAAACUCAAAGAAAUUGACGGGGGCCCGCACAAGCGGUGGAGUAUGUGGCUCAAUUCGAUGCAACGCGAAGAACCUUACCAGGCCUUGACAUGCAUCUCUAAGUUGGUGAAAGCCAGCGAGUCUCGAAAGAGACAAUUUGCACAGGUGCUGCAUGGCUGUCGUCAGCUCGUGUCGUGAGAUGUUGGGUUAAGUCCCGCAACGAGCGCAACCCCUGUGAACUGUUGCCACGGAACCGAGAGGUUCCAGCACUCUGUUCAGACUGCCUCGCUUAAACGAGGAGGAAGGUGGGGACGACGUCAAGUCAGUAUGGCCCUUACGGCCUGGGCUGCACACGUACUACAAUGCCCAGUACAGAACGAUCCGAUACCGCGAGGUGGAGGAAAUCUCUCAAAACUGGGCCCAGUUCGGAUUGGAGGCUGCAAUUCGCCUCCAUGAAGCCGGAAUCGCUAGUAAUGGCGCAUCAGCUACGGCGCCGUGAAUACGUUCCCGGGCCUUGUACACACCGCCCGUCACAUCAUGAAAGCCGUUUGUACCCGAAGUCAUCCCUUAAAAGGUGCCGAAGGUAUGGAUGGUGAUUGGGAUGAAGUCGUAACAAGGUAACCAAGGG